ACAAUUUCUGAGUAGCUAUAGUGAAUGUAACAUAAAUUAUACCAACUGGUUCUACUUUCUUCCUGCAAAGAGAAUGAACUGAAUUGGUGGGUGUAAGCCAACAUCUUAGAAUGUGCCAGUUCGUGGAUCUCCUUUCACCCAAAUAAGAGACUCCAUUUGAUAACUAUUCUUUUAUGCCAAAUAAACCCAGAUCUUAAAAGCCCUUAUUUCAGUAAAGUUGAAGGGCAGAGACAAAACAGCACGAUUCCUGUAAAUCCUUGGAAACAAUGAAAACUUAUCUGUCAAAGAACUGCAGAACUCUAAACUUGAGACCAUCUUGUUCAACAUCCUCAUUUCAAAGAUAAGAAAUCUCCAGCUAGAGAGGUGAAGGGCCGCUUCAAUGCCCCCCAGACAAUAAAGUGUGGCUCAUAACUAGAACUCUGAAGACCCAUCUACCUGAGUGGUUUUUCUGACUGACAAAUGCAAUGAGAGAAGUGGCUAAUUGUGGUUCUUCCUGAAAUCAGAAUGUGACCUCCACAUAUACUCACAUCUUUUCAUCUGUGAUUUUCAUAUUGAUAUUCACAUGUUUAUAAAAUAAACCUACACUCAACUCCUUUAGACUCUUCCUAUUUAAAACAAAUAUUUUGUUUCCUCAAACUCAGUAACCUUGCUCUUAAAACUUCCACAUAAAAGUCCCCUCUAUAAUUUAAAGAUCUCCUACAUCCAUCUCCUCCAUGAUGAUUUCCUACAGGCUUCAGCCAGAAAAGGAACCUUCUAAGCCCUAGGAUAUCCCAUUCACAUCUCUUAUUUUCCUUGUGUCUCACUUAUCAGCCCUCCCUAAGAAGUCGGGGACUGCUAAUCUACACCUCAGAUGUUGACAUAACUUUUGUCACCAGCAAUUCGACUUGUCAAGAGCAGUUAUGCAUGCAAUCAGAUAUCCAGAGCCCAGACGUUCAUCCUUAUGAUAAACUUCAGUGAGAUAUUCAAUUUGUAGAUUUAUUCACUCCCAUCCUCACAUCCUCUUCCUUUUUUUACCCAAUCCAUGGGAUGACUUCUCUCUCCUAGAAGCACAAGGCUUUGUGAGGGCCAGCAUCAGUAAGACAGUAUUAAUUGAAUGAGCAUCCGUUAUUUGCUAAAACUUUGUGAGAAAAACAAAAUAUACAUCAUGAACAGAGCUGAAAGGGACCCUACAGCUUCAGUCUAAAAGUGUUAUGUUUCCGACAAAGAAAUUGGGAUCCACAGAAGUAAUUUUUUCAAAUCAUCCUGCAGUAUUGUGGUGGGACUAAACAAGAAAACGGUUCUUAUUGCAACGCUGAGCUCCCCCUCACACGAUCAUGAGGCUUCCCAUUUAGUUGUGAUGACACCUUAAAUUCUGUAACAUUAUAACCCAGAAAAAUUUCCAUAUAAACUUAAACGGUGUCCUCCCGUUAAAACAAAAGUCUAUGCUGUUUGAAAAUGUUUAUUGAUGGCUCAUCUUCCUGAUCAGAUUCUCUACAAAAGCGAACUCUAAAGAGCUAAUGCAUUAUUUUAUUCUUUUCAUUGUUCAAAUUCUCACUGACCUCAGAGGACCCAGGGAAUCUUUUCUAUCAACAGUCCUAAGAGAGUCAUAAAAGAAUACACAAGUCAGCAGUGACCUCAGUGAAUACAGAGCUGCAUAUGACAGGAGAUCUGAGUGGGAAGCUACAUGUAAUAAUUGAAAGAUGGUAACUCUUAUUCUGAGCAGCAAAACUAUGGCAAAUUAGGCUUAGUAAAGCAUGUAGUUAUAUCCAAAAUUUUAAUCCAACUAACCCAUUCACUACUAAACACAUGUGUCUCAAGUUCAGUCCAGAGAUCCUUUGAAGGAAGCACGUGUGUGUGCAUGCGUGUGCAUGCAUUUCAUCCAUACAACUUUCACUUAGUGAGAAUUUGUGGAAUAACUACAAUGUGAGGAACAGAAGGACUUAGAGAAGAAACAAGAGAGCAGAGUCCCUGUAUAGAA
rnacentral:lncRNA from 1 species